GGCUCGGUAGCUUAGUUGAUAAAGCGCUCGUCUAGCAUACAAGAGUCCUGGGUUCAGAUUUCAGCCGAGCAC
rnacentral:tRNA from 1 species